UUAAAAAUAUCAUCAUAAUUGGUGAACCCACCAUCCGUACCAAAUAACUUUAUAUAUAUAUAAAAAAUAUUAUGCUAGAACUAGUAAUAAGAACAUGAACUUCUCCAAAAUACACGUCUAUUGCAGAAUAAACCAUAACUGCAGAUUACUGUUCAUAUUCUAAAAGUAGUGACUUACUAAGAAAAAGCUACUCAACAUAACAUUAACCUAACACAAGAGUAUUUCUGGAAAGAUUUAAAGAAAGGGAAGGAACUCGGCAAAUAUAAGCCUCGCCUGUUUACCAAAAACAUCGCCUCUUGAUACAGAUAUAAGAGGUCCCGCCUGCCCUGUGACCAAGUUUAACGGCCGCGGUAUUUUAACCGUGCAAAGGUAGCAUAAUAAAUUGUUCUUUAAAUAAGGACCAGUAUGAAUGGCUCCACGAGGGCUCAGCUGUCUCCCCUCUCUAAUCAAUGAAACUGAUCCCCUCGUGAAGAAGCGAGGAUUAACAUAUAAGACGAGAAGACCCCAUGGAGCUUUAAACUCAUUACCAAUUACCCAUUACCACACCAAAAGAAUUUAAGUAAAUAUGUUCUAAAUAGUUUUCGGCUGGGGCAACCCCGGAGUAAAAUAAAACCUCCAGAAUGAACAGAGUAAUAUCCUAAUACAAGAACUACAGUUCAAAUAAUCAAAAAAUUGACAUAAUGAUCCAAAUUAUUGAUCAAUGAAAUAAGUUACCCUGGGGAUAACAGCGCAAUCCAUUUCAAGAGUCCCUAUCGACAAAUGGGUUUACGACCUCGAUGUUGGAUCGGGGUAUCCUGGUGGCGCAGCCG
rnacentral:rRNA from 1 species